GAAUCAUCCAGAGCAGCUGAGGGAUUUGGCCCGGUGAUGCUGCGGCAACCUGCUUGAUGCAUAUGCAAGAGGCAAGGUGCUAAGUCCAACGGGUAACCGGCAGAUGAUAA
rfam:Veillonella sp. CAG:933 genomic scaffold, scf157